UACGGAGGGUGCGAGCGUUAUCCGGAAUUACUGGGUUUAAAGGGUGCGUAGGCGGCGCAGUAAGUCAGGAGUGAAAGUUUGCGGCUCAACCGUAAAAUUGCUUUUGAUACUGCUGUGCUAGAAUUAGGAUGAGGUCAGCGGAAUGUGGCAUGUAGCGGUGAAAUGCAUAGAUAUGCCAUAGAACACCAAUUGCGAAGGCAGCUGGCUAGACCUAUAUUGACGCUGAGGCACGAAAGCGUGGGGAGCAAACAGG
rnacentral:rRNA from 1 species